rnacentral:rRNA from 1 species
GGGUUGUGAGGUUAAGCGACUAAGCGUACACGGUGGAUGCCCUGGCAGUCAGAGGCGAUGAAGGACGUGCUAAUCUGCGAUAAGCGCCGGUAAGGUGAUAUGAACCGUUAUAACCGGCGAUUUCCGAAUGGGGAAACCCAGUGUGACUCGUCACACUAUCAUUAACUGAAUCCAUAGGUUAAUGAGGCGAACCGGGGGAACUGAAACAUCUAAGUACCCCGAGGAAAAGAAAUCAACCGAGAUUCCCCCAGUAGCGGCGAGCGAACGGGGAGGAGCCCAGAGCCUGAAUCAGCAUGUGUGUUAGUGGAAGCGUCUGGAAAGGCGCGCGAUACAGGGUGACAGCCCCGUACACAAAAGCGCAUGUGCUGUGAGCUCGAUGAGUAGGGCGGGACACGUGGUAUCCUGUCUGAAUAUGGGGGGACCAUCCUCCAAGGCUAAAUACUCCUGACUGACCGAUAGUGAACCAGUACCGUGAGGGAAAGGCGAAAAGAACCCCGGCGAGGGGAGUGAAAAAGAACCUGAAACCGUGUACGUACAAGCAGUGGGAGCCCCACCACUAAGCCAGUGGUGAACUCCACAUACGCAUCCUUUGCUGAGGAUACGGUUAACGGAGCGAAAGCGACGUUCAACCUCAAAAGAAGCAGAGGGGGCUUAGUGGUGGGGUGACUGCGUACCUUUUGUAUAAUGGGUCAGCGACUUAUAUUCUGUAGCAAGGUUAACCGAAUAGGGGAGCCGGAGGGAAACCGAGUCUUAAUUGGGCGUUAAGUUGCAGGGUAUAGACCCGAAACCCGGUGAUCUAGCCAUGGGCAGGUUGAAGGUUGGGUAACACUAACUGGAGGACCGAACCGACUAAUGUUGAAAAAUUAGCGGAUGACCUGUGGCUGGGGGUGAAAGGCCAAUCAAACCGGGAGAUAGCUGGUUCUCCCCGAAAGCUAUUUAGGUAGCGCCUCGUGAAUUCAUCUCCGGGGGUAGAGCACUGUUUCGGCUAGGGGGCCAUCCCGGCUUACCAACCCGAUGCAAACUGCGAAUACCGGAGAAUGUUAUCACGGGAGACACACGGCGGGUGCUAACGUCCGUCGUGAAGAGGGAAACAACCCAGACCGCCAGCUAAGGUCCCAAAGUCAUGGUUAAGUGGGAAACGAUGUGGGAAGGCCCAGACAGCCAGGAUGUUGGCUUAGAAGCAGCCAUCAUUUAAAGAAAGCGUAAUAGCUCACUGGUCGAGUCGGCCUGCGCGGAAGAUGUAACGGGGCUAAACCAUG